AUUGAACGCUGGCGGCAUGCCUUACACAUGCAAGUCGAACGGUAGCGGGCCUUCGGGUGCCGACGAGUGGCGAACGGGUGAGUAAUGUAUCGGAACGUACCUCUCAGUGGGGGAUAACGUCGCGAAAGUUACGCUAAUACCGCAUAUUCUGUGAGCAGGAAAGCAGGGGAUCUCAAGACCUGGCGCUUAUUGAGCGGCCGAUAUCCGAUUAGCUAGUUGGUGCGGUAAAGGCUCACCAAGGCGACGAUCUGUAGCGGGUCUGAGAGGAUGAUCCGCCACACUGGAACUGAGACACGGUCCAGACUCCUACGGGAGGCAGCAGUGGGGAAUUUUGGACAAUGGGGGCAACCCUGAUCCAGCCAUGCCGCGUGAGUGAAGAAGGCCUUCGGGUUGUAAAGCUCUUUCGGCCGGGAAGAAAUCGUAUCAGCUAAUACCUGGUGCGGAUGACGGUACCGGCAUAAGAAGCACCGGCUAACUACGUGCCAGCCGCCGCCGUAAAAC
rnacentral:rRNA from 1 species